UACAGAGGGGGCGAGCGUUAUUCGGAAUUAUUGGGCGUAAAGGGCGCGUAGGCGGCUUGACAAGUCCAAGGUGAAAUCCCUCGGCUCAACCGAGGAACUGCCUUGGAAACUGUCUGGCUUGAGGCCGGGAGAGGGUAGUGGAAUUCCCAGUGUAGCGGUGAAAUGCGUAGAUAUUGGGAGGAACACCGGUGGCGAAGGCGGCCUGCUGGGCAGUAGCUGACACUGGAGGCGCGACAGCGGUGGGGAGCAAACAGGG
rnacentral:rRNA from 1 species